GAUGAACGCUAGCGGCAGGCUUAACACAUGCAAGUCGAGGGGUAUUGGUUUUCGGACCAAGAGACCGGCGCACGGGUGCGUAACGCGUAUGCAAUCUACCUUUUGCAGAGGGAUAGCCCCAGAGAAAUUUGGAUUAAUACCUCAUAGUAUAGUACUUUGGCAUCAAGGAACUAUUAAAGUCACAACGGCAAAGAUGAGCAUGCGUCCCAUUAGCUAGUUGGUAAGGUAACGGCUUACCAAGGCUACGAUGGGUAGGGGUCCUGAGAGGGAGAUCCCCCACACUGGUACUGAGACACGGACCAGACUCCUACGGGAGGCAGCAGUGAGGAAUAUUGGACAAUGGGCGCAAGCCUGAUCCAGCCAUGCCGCGUGCAGGAUGACGGUCCUAUGGAUUGUAAACUGCUUUUAUACAGGAAGAAACACUACUUCGUGAAGUAGCUUGACGGUACUGUAAGAAUAAGGAUCGGCUAACUCCGUGCCAGCAGCCGC
rnacentral:rRNA from 1 species